GGGCCCAGGGCGGCAGUGGAGCCUUCACACCGCUUCCUCCGCGGGAGCCUUCACACCGCUUCCUCCGCGCGCUGACGGAGGAUUCCUGGCCUCACAGCAGUGCUUGGCCUGUGGGCGUCCCCGGCAGUCCUCGGCUGCGGGACCUGUAUCGGGACUGCGCAAAGUGGGCUUCCAGGAGAGCGGGGCGUCCCUCAGUCAGCUGAGCCUUGGAGCGUGGGGCAGCCCAGGCCCGUGAGGCCGCCAGUGUCACCCUCAGGCCCGCGAGGCCGCCCAGCCCCUUGUGGGGUCCAAGGCCAAUUCUGGAUCAGUCACGAGGCAAGACCGCGGACCCUCAGGAGACCACCAGGAGCCCGCCGCGCAUUCCUCCGCCUCCACCACGCCAGUCACCUGCUCAGCCCGAGGGCAGUCAGCAGCCAUCGCCCCAGUGAGGCGGCCCGUGAGGAGCUGAGGCCGUGACCAGGGCAGCGCCCUGCGAGUCAGCGUCAGUCCCCGCGCCAGCCAGUUCCUCAGACAAUCAGCUCACCAUUCCCAUCACUUAUGCUGGGCAAUCAUCAAUAUACCCGCUGUCAUGCCCUUCAGCUGCCUACCGGGGCAAGUUCACAACCCAGCAAGACCCCCACAAAUUCUCAGACAGCUCUUGGAAAUCUAAUCUACUGAGCUUAUAAAUACACCAACACUUAGAUUCUUCCAGUGUUCCAGGGCAAAUCAGGUUCCAUGUCCUCAGACCCGAGGACAAGACCAGAGGGGCAAGCAGCUCCGGCGUGUCCAGGUUCUCAGAUUCCUUCACCAGAGGCCAUGGAGUCAACAGAGAUGCUGCAAACUUACGGCUAAGGGGUGCCCAAUCAGUGGUUGCUUCACUCAGUGCCGGAUGAGAGAAGAGACCUCAGAAUCAGGCAAGGAUUAAAUUCCAGUCCUGCCCUGACUACCUGAGCGACCUGAACGCAGCCCCAGUGAGGUUCCCGCACCUCGAUGCACCGUGAAACCAUCAAGUCAGCAUGAUUAGCACAUCUGUCAGCUCAAAUAUUUAUCUUUUUUUUUUUUUUUGGUGACAACAUUUAAACUCCUCUCUUUUAGCUAUUUUGAAUUAUUCAAUACAUUACUCUGUCAUUUGAAACAACACAGAUGAACUUAGAGGAUGUUAUGUUGAGUGAAAUAAGCCAGGCACAGAGAGACAAACACGUUACAAUCUCACUAUAUUUGGAAUCUGAAGUAGUCAUCCUCAGAGAAGUAGAGAGGAGAAUAAUGGGUACCAGAGGCCGGGGCGGGGAGUGUGGACCGAUCGGAUGGGGAAAGGGAGAGUUUGGUCAUCAGGCACGCAUUUUCAGUUAGACAAGAGGAAUAAGUUCUGAUGUCCUGUUGCACAGCAUUGAGGGCUGCUAAUUCUACUGGAAUCAGCCUCGGACUCCUUUGCUGGAGGGGUCGUGAACCCUCAAACAAGCCCGAGCCUCUGCAUUUUCUUACUUGGGGAUCUUGAUCUCUGAGUACUCAUUGUUGGUGGCCUCUUGUCUCGAUAGGUCCUGAGGCUCCCCCUUAUGAAAGCUGAGGGAUGCAUACUGGAUCUCUCUUUCCUCCCCUGAGGAGGGGGCAGCCAGGCCAAGGUGUCGGGGGUUAUCGUCUGCCCAGGACUCAAUCAGGGUACCCUGAAUGGAGAGAGAGAAGGGAGUCAGAGCAGAGCAGUGGAAAUAGGAUCAGGCAGGGAGAGUCACAAGUUGUUUGAUUGGUUGGUUGGUUUGGAUAUAUUGCUCUGUAUAGAAUUAAACUUCAUGAGUUCCUGCCUCUA
rnacentral:antisense_RNA from 1 species